rnacentral:rRNA from 1 species
UACGUAGGGGGCAAGCGUUGUCCGGAUUUAUUGGGCGUAAAGAGCGUGUAGGCGGCCUGACAGGUCUGCUGUGAAAACUCGAGGCUCAACCUCGAGAUGUCGGCGGAAACCGUCUGGCUAGAGUCCGGAAGAGGAGAGUGGAAUUCCUGGUGUAGCGGUGAAAUGCGCAGAUAUCAGGAGGAACACCCGUAGCGAAGGCGGCACUCUGGGCCGAUUCUGACACUGAGGAGCGAAAGCGUGGGGAGCGAACAGG